rnacentral:rRNA from 1 species
GAUGAACGCUAGCGGCAGGCUUAACACAUGCAAGUCGAGGGGCAGCACUGGUAGCAAUACCUGGUGGCGACCGGCAAACGGGUGCGGAACACGUACGCAAUCUACCUUUAUCUGGGGCAUAGCCCGAAGAAAUUCGGAUUAAUUCCCCAUAAUAUGAUUAAGUGGCAUCACUUGGUUAUUAAAACUACCGGUGGAUAGAGAUGAGCGUGCGUCCCCAUUAGCUAGUUGGGAGGGUAACGGGCCUACCCAAGGCGACGAUGGGUAGGCUGGUGUGAGAGCACGACCAGCCACACGGG